rfam:Cyclobacterium marinum DSM 745, complete genome.
GGUAUAGUAGGUCUACCGCAAUCGGUGAGUAAGGGGAGGUUUCAAACCGCCUCUCGGUGCUGUUUUGGUAACGAAACUGUGUUGAAGGGAAGAAGGAAAAGAUCCAGAUUGUAUGGAAACAGGU